GACGAACGCUGGCGGCGCGCUUAACACAUGCAAGUCGAGCGAUUAAACUUUAACAGAACCCUUCGGGGCGAAGAUAAAGUGGAUUAGCGGCGGACGGGUGAGUAACACGUGAGUAACCUGCCUUAGACAUUGGGAUAGCCUCGGGAAACCGGGAUUAAUACCAAAUAAAAUCAUAAUGCCACAUGUCAUAACGAUCAAAACUCCGGUGGUCUAAGAUGGAAUCGCGUCCCAUUGGCUAGUUGGUAGAGUAAAAGCAUACCAAUGCGACGAUGGGUAGCCGGCCUGAGAGGGUGAACGGCCACAUUGGAACUGAGAAACGGUCCAAACUCCUACGGGAGGCAGCAGUGGGGAAUAUUGCACAAUGGAGGGAACUCUGAUGCAGCGACGCCGCGUGAACGAAGAAGGCUUUCGAGUCGUAAAGUUCUUUUAUAUGGGAAGAUAAUGACGGUACCAUAAGAAAAAGCCCCGGCUAACUACGUG
rnacentral:rRNA from 1 species